AACUUUUAACAACGGAUCACUUGGCUCUCGCAUCGAUGAAGAACGCAGCGAAAAGCGAAAUGUAAUGUGAAUUGCAGAAUCUCAGUGAAUCAUCGAAUCUUUGAACGCAUCUUGCGCCCAGUGGCAUUCCGCUGGGCAUGCCUGUCUGAGUGUCCAUUUAAACCUCAACCCUCUACCUUUUAAAUUGAGCGGCUUGGAUCAUGGACUAGGUAGUGCCCCAGUCUCUGCCAGUCUUAAACGUACUAAGGUCGUAAACGUUUCGUCGACGGUUUGACCGAGUGUUGUAGUGUAUUUUGCCUCGCUCGGGACGUUGAUAACGUUGGGCCCCAAACAUGAAUAUUAUUUUUAGACCUCAGAUCAGGUAGGAUUACCCGCUGAACUUAAGCAUAUCAAUAAGCGGAGGCU
rnacentral:misc_RNA from 1 species